rnacentral:snRNA from 1 species
AUUCUUUAUCAGCCUUUCUAAGAUCAAGUGUAGUAUCUGUUUAUAUUGGUUUGAUAUCUCAAAUUCCUCUAUCUGAGAACAGUGUAUUUAUUUGGUGGGUUUUUCCAGCUGGGAGAUAGAAUAAGAGCUUGAUCCACUCACUGCAUUCAUUGUUCUGAUAUUUCAGUUCUUCCAGAAGUGUGUACCCCUC